UUCCUUCGUUAAUUCUAAUAAUUUGUCUGCUCUAAAAGAUGCAAAAAACACUCGAAAAGAUGUUUUCUUUUGAUGUGUGGUUGAUGGAAUAUUAUAUGUAGCUGAUCCAUGGAUAUAAAGCGAAGAGAACGCACUGAAACCAGCAAACCAAUGGCAAGAAAUGGUCCGAGAAAUCUCUGCCAUGGCUGUCUUCUCAUCCGCUUCUAUCCUCCUAAAAUAGAAGGCCAUUCCGAACCAUGCAAAAUAUAGACACUGCAAUUGUAUAUAUAUACCUCCUCGUCUCUCUUCCUCCUCAUUCCAACAAUCUCAUCGUACCCAAAACUCAUCAUAUCCAGUCCGGAGACCGAGAAGACGACAAUGGCCACAGCAAAGGCGAGCUGCAUUGUGAUCCUGCUGGGUCUGCUGCUUCUGACGGUGUCACCGGCGGCCGCUGACACCAUCUUACCAGUGGUGACUUCGAAUGAUAUGUCGCCGGCCCCGGCAGCGAGUGAACCGGCCUCCUCUGAGAAAUGCCAUGCCCACUGCAUCACAAACAACUACUGGAGAGUCGUCUGCAACCUCAAGUGCUACCACAGCAUCACUGCGAAGGCCCGCUAAGGAAGUAUGCGAGAAUCCAUGAAAGAGCUCCUUUGAGAUGGGGAAGAGAAGAAGGGUGUUCUUGCUAGCUAUGAUACGACAACAAAUAAGAAUCCGCGUGAGCUCUUUUGGCCAAGGCGUUUAAGAUACAUUUGAAGUGUCUUGACAGAUUCAUGGAUGUAAUUCGUAUAUAUAUUUCCUAUUUUCCCUGACAUUUGAUGCAUUUCAAAGAGUUGCCUUCGUUUUUC